rnacentral:misc_RNA from 1 species
GGUGGCAAGGAAUGCUGCGUUGAUAACAUGCUGAAGUGGCUGAGGUGCUCCAUCGUUUAGGUGGAUCAAUCCUCCUGGACGACAUUGUCAAAGAAAUACACUGAGAUCCAAAAGGUAGACUUAUGAAUAUGAACAUGGGUAGGCCAGCCAAAUAAGAGAUGGUUUACCUUUGGUUCUGUAAAGCUUGUAAAAUUUGGUAGGUAAGAACACAUGAUUAUAUUGGUCUGGUUGUGAAAUUUCCUUAAUAUUUCUUCAUAUGGAU